CUGGUCGCCCCAGGAGCUGUCACUCCACAUAAAUGUCUGGGAGCUAAGGGCAGUCCGCCUCGCCUGCCAGGCGUUUCAACGACACCUACAAGGCCGCUGUGUUUCCGUACUCACGGACAACACAACGGCCAUGUAUUAUAUCAACAAGCAGCGGGGGACCCGUUCGUCUCCCCUAUGUCAGGAGGCCAUUCGACUCUGGGACUUCUGUAUAGCCCAGUCGAUAGACCUGGUGGCAUCCUUCCUCCCAGGGGUCGAGAACACGCUGGCGGACAGCCUCAGCAGAUCCUUCCUCUGCCACGAAUGGUCGAUCAGACCGGAUAUCAUCCAUUCCAUCUUCCAGAGGUGGGGAUUUCCCCGCAUAGACCUCUUCGCAACCAGGUCCAACAGGAAGUGCCAGGAGUUUUGCUCCUUCCAAGGUCUCUCUCCGGGGUCGAUCUCGGACGCAUUUCUCCUGCCGUGGACCCACCACCUCCUGUAUGCCUUCCCUCCGUUCCCUCUGGUGCACAAGGUCCUGUUGAAGCUGCGCAGGGACAAAGCGCAUCUGAUCUUGAUCGCACCUGCGUGGCCCAGACAGCACUGGUUCACCACCUUGCUGAACCUAUCUGUGGACCACCCAAUUCCCCUUCCUCUCCACCCAGACCUGAUUACCCAGGAUCACGGCGCGCUUCGUCACCCGGACCUACGAGCGCUACACCUCACGGCGUGGCUCCUGCAUGGCUGAGCACAGUGGAGCUCAGUUGCUCCGCACCGGUCCAGCAUAUACUCCUUAACAGCAGGAAGCCCUCCACUCGCUCAACGUACAGGGCCAAGUGGAAGCGUUUCUCUUGCUGGUGCGCUUCUCAAGGGGUGACCCCUACACAGACUCCGAUGUCCACGGUCCUGGACUACCUCUGGUACCUUAAGCAGCAGGGCCUGGCAACUGCCUCCUUAAAGGUACACUUAGCGGCCAUAUCCGCCUUCCGGCCAGGGGAAGGGGGUCGCUCCGUAUUCUCCCAUCCCUUAGUCUCCAGAUUUCUUAAAGGCCUGGAACGUCUAUACCCCACAGUACGCCGCCCUGCCCCUACCUGGGACCUUAACUUGGUCCUGAACAGACUCACGCUCCCACCAUUUGAGCCACUGGCAACUUGCUCGCUCACGUACCUGUCAUGGAAGACGGCAUUCCUGGUGGCCAUUACAUCGGCCAGGCGGGUCUCCGAGCUGAGAGCUCUCACAGUGGACCCGCCCUACACCGUUUUCCAUAAAGACAAGGUACACCUGCGGCCCCAACCGG
rnacentral:lncRNA from 1 species